rnacentral:rRNA from 1 species
GAUGAACGCUGGCGGCGUGCCUAAUACAUGCAAGUCGAGCGAAUGGAUUAAGAGCUUGCUCUUAUGAAGUUAGCGGCGGACGGGUGAGUAACACGUGGGUAACCUGCCCAUAAGACUGGGAUAACUCCGGGAAACCGGGGCUAAUACCGGAUAACAUUUUGAACCGCAUGGUUCGAAAUUGAAAGGCGGCUUCGGCUGGCACUUAUGGAUGGACCCGCGUCGCAUUAGCUAGUUGGUGAGGUAACGGCUCACCAAGGCAACGAUGCGUAGCCGACCUGAGAGGGUGAUCGGCCACACUGGGACUGAGACACGGCCCAGACCCCUACGGGAGGCAGCAGUAGGGAAUCUUCCGCAAUGGACGAAAGUCUGACGGAGCAACGCCGCGUGAGUGAUGAAGGCUUUCGGGUCGUAAAACUCUGUUGUUAGGGAAGAACAAGUGCUAGUUGAAUAAGCUGGCACCUUGACGGUACCUAACCAGAAAGCCACGGCUAACUACGUGCCAGCAGCCGCAGUAA